GGGGAUUUAGCUCAGCGGCAUAAGCGCCUGCCUUGCAAGCAGGCAGUCGUGAGUUCGACCCCCAGUACCGA
rfam:Cavia porcellus supercont2_37 genomic scaffold, whole genome shotgun sequence.